rnacentral:rRNA from 1 species
UACGUAGGGUGCGAGCGUUAAUCGGAAUUACUGAGCGUAAAGGGUGCGUAGGUGGCGAGGUAAGUCGGAUGUGAAAGCUCGGAGCUCAACUCCGAAAUGGCAUUGGAAACUACCUUGCUCGAGGGUUGGAGGGGGGACUGGAAUACUUGGUGUAGCAGUGAAAUGCGUAGAUAUCAAGUGGAACACCAGUGGCGAAGGCGAGUCCCUGGACAACUCCUGACACUGAGGCACGAAAGCUAGGGGAGCAAACAGG